rnacentral:lncRNA from 1 species
ACGUGUUCACGAUCAAACGAUAUGCUAUUAUUAGAACGAUAGCUAUAUCAAGUAUAGAUUGUUGUGUGGCAUAUGAGUUGGUUGUCCUUUUAAUCAAAGAGUAUGAAGAUUCUGGUAUAAUCUGUAGGUGAGAUGUAGGAGUACAUCUCACGAAAUAUGAUCCAACUGCAGAACACUCUGCUGUCAAGAGUAGCUUAUGAAGGAUAUGGAUAUAAGAGUCCCUCGGACC